CUCACUUCCCAGGGAACAUGCAGACCAGUGCCUUCCUGCGCCAUUCAUUGCCUCAAUCCCGGUACAACCACAAACUGAAUUGGACCCUCUUCAACUGGGUGACUCAGUCUUACUUCAGGAACUGCAUUCUCAAUUGUUGGAACCUCACUGGACUGGACCCCAUAUAAUCAUACUUACUACCCCAAUGGUGACGAAGCUUUUGGGCCAC
rnacentral:lncRNA from 1 species